CCUUCCAUUCCGUUCGGCUCCCAAAAGAACUCGGGAUGGGGAAGGCACAGCGGAAGGAGAUGGCGGAGACGGUGUCGUACGAGGAGCAGCGGCGGAGGCAGGUGGAGGCGAACAAGCGCAAGCUCGAGGAGCUCCAGCUGCACCACCUCUCCGCCGCCUUGAGAGAGGCCGCCGCCAAGCCCUCGCCGGCCAAGAAGCGGAAGGCUCGGCCGCCGCGGGAUGCUGCCGUGGAGCCGCUCCGGCGGUCUGGCCGUGUCGCCAACCUCCCGGAGAAGCCCAAGUACCGCGAGGAGGUUCUGGAUUUCGGGAGGAAGGUCAGAAGCUCAAGGACGUUCAGAUCAUGGAGGAAGGACCUGGUGGACCGGGUGUAUGCGACCGACGAGGAGCGGAGCCACGCCAUCACGAAGGCUGAGGAGCUGGUCGACGAGCUGGGCUCCCGCUUCCCCAUCUUCCUGAAACCCAUGACCCAGUCCCAUGUCACGGGAGGCUUCUGGCUGGGCCUCCCAACCCCGUUCUGCCGAAAGUACUUGCCAAAACGUGAUGAGACAAUCACGCUGAAGGACGAGGAGGAUGACGAGUUCGACACGCUCUACCUCAAUAGGAAGAUGGGACUGAGUGCUGGAUGGAGAGGAUUCGCCAUUGACCACAAGCUGGUCGAUGGAGAUUGCUUGGUCUUCCAGUUGAUCGAGCGCACCAAGUUCAAGGAAAUAAUUCACAUUUGUACAAAAUUUGUCUAAUUGAAACUGGAUUUUUUUUGCUAUUGUUAGAUGUUCUCAUGACUGCUAUCUAUAAUGUCUACAUAAAACGAGCAAGUUCCUACCACGAAGAUGAGGAGUGAUGAAACUAGUAGCUUCUAAUAUGGUGAUUGGAGCACAGCUCUGGCGACGGUUGCACACUUGCACUCCACAAAACCAGUGUGAGCAGGAUGGAACAGGCUCGCAUGUGUAGAGUGCUGGGGCGUCUUCAACCUUUUGACUGGCGAAAAAAACUGCAGUUGCUAUUUUGUGGGGUUUGGGAUUACGACCUGCACGGUUCAGAAACCUGCACUAUGUAAGGGGAGGUGGAUGGCAAUUAGCCUCAUUUUGUAAAUUAAUGCCCGUCCUGGUUCCUGUUGUCCCUUCCUCUGGUUCAUUCUAUGUUAGCUUGUGCGUUACAACAAUUGAUUCAUGAGGAUCUAGACUAAUGGCGUCAUUAGCUGAUCAUGGGCCUGGCUCUAGGCUCGGUGCUUUUGCAUAGGAAUUUUUUU